AGGACAUAUUCCACAAAGCAAUUGCUAUUGCAGAUUCAAUACAAGCUGUUUGCGAAGGGUUGGAACAGAACGAUAAGAAAAAACUCUGUGCUCUGUUGGGCAUGUUCGUCUUGCAAGUCAUGGCUCUUGUUUCAAUUGCAAUGGGGCAUAACAUUUCAAGUGUUCUUCCCAUUAUGGUACACCUAUCACAGUUUCUUCCAA
rnacentral:misc_RNA from 1 species